GACGAACGCUGGCGGCGUGCUUAACACAUGCGAGUCGAACGGAAAGGCCCUGCGUUUGUGGGGUGCUCGAGUGGCGAACGGGUGAGUAACACGUGAGUAACCUGCCCUUGUCUUUGGGAUAACUUCAGGAAACUGGGGCUAAUACCGGAUAGGAGCUCCUGCUGCGUGGUGGGGGUUGGAAAGUUUCGGCGGUGGGGGAUGGACUCGCGGCUUACGCGCUUGUUGGUGGGGUAGUGGAUUACCAGGGCUUUGACGGGUAGCCGGCCUUGGAGGGGUACCGGCGUCCUUGGGACUGAGGUACGGACCAGACUCCAAUGGGAGGCAACAGUGGGGAAUAUUACACAAUGGGCGGAAGCGUGAUGCAACGACGCCGGGUGCGGAAUGACGGCCUUUGGGUUAUAAACCGCUUUCGCCUGUGACGAAGCGUGAGUGACGGUAAUGGGUAAAGAAGCACCGGCUAACUACGUG
rnacentral:rRNA from 1 species